AUUGAACGCUGGCGGCAGGCUUAACACAUGCAAGUCGAGCGAGCGGCGGACGGGUGAGUAAUGUCUGAGAAACUGCCUGAGGGAGGGGGAUAACUACUGGAAACGGUCGCUAAUACCGCAUACCAUCAGAUGUGCCCAGAUGGGAUUAGCUCGUAGGGGGAGUAAUGGCUCACCUAGGCGACGCUCCCUAGCUGGUCUGCGAGGAUGACCAGCCACACUGGAACGGAGACACGGUCCAGACUCCUACGUGAGGCAGCAGUGGGGGAUAUUGCACAAGGGGCGCAAGCCUGAUGCAGCCAUGCCGCGUGUGUGAAGAAGGCCUUCGGGUUGUAAAGCACUUUCAGCGAGGAGGCGUUACUCGCAGAAGAAGCACCGGCUAACUCCGUGCCAGCAGCCGCGGUAAUUC
rnacentral:rRNA from 1 species